UACAUUUUGCCGAAUAGGGAUUCAAAAUAAUGAAACAAUUAAAUUGGGCCCAGUCAAUGAAUAAGAAGUGCAUGAGUGUAAGUGCAAGGGAACCGUCUCAUUGUAAGAAGACCCAAAAGUAAGUCAUGUGACCAAAAUAAACAAGACAACAAGUUAUAUUCGCAAGACAUUCAAAAAUUAAAUUGAAAGAAGUAAAAUCGGGACGUGCACGGAUAAAAAUUAGGAUAGUCACAUAACGCAAGAACAUGCAAGGCAAAUUGAAAUUG
rnacentral:lncRNA from 1 species